GUGGGGAAUCUUGCGCAAUGGGCGAAAGCCUGACGCAGCCAUGCCGCGUGAAUGAUGAAGGUCUUAGGAUUGUAAAAUUCUUUCACCGGGGACGAUAAUGACGGUACCCGGAGAAGAAGCCCCGGCUAACUUCGUGCCAGCAGCCGCGGUAAUACGAAGGGGGCUAGCGUUGCUCGGAAUUACUGGGCGUAAAGGGAGCGUAGGCGGACAUUUAAGUCAGGGGUGAAAUCCCGGGGCUCAACCUCGGAAUUGCCUUUGAUACUGGGUGUCUUGAGUGUGAGAGAGGUAUGUGGAACUCCGAGUGUAGAGGUGAAAUUCGUAGAUAUUCGGAAGAACACCAGUGGCGAAGGCGACAUACUGGCUCAUUACUGACGCUGAGGCUCGAAAGCGUGGGGAGCAAACAGGAUUAGAUACCCGUGUAGUCC
rnacentral:rRNA from 1 species